rnacentral:rRNA from 1 species
AGUGAACGCUGGCGGUAGGCCUAACACAUGCAAGUCGAACGGCAGCACAGGAGAGCUUGCUCUCUGGGUGGCGAGUGGCGGACGGGUGAGGAAUACAUCGGAAUCUACUCUGUCGUGGGGGAUAACGUAGGGAAACUUACGCUAAUACCGCAUACGACCUACGGGUGAAAGCAGGGGACCUUCGGGCCUUGCGCGAUUGAAUGAGCCGAUGUCGGAUUAGCUAGUUGGCGGGGUAAAGGCCCACCAAGGCGACGAUCCGUAGCUGGUCUGAGAGGAUGAGCAGCCACACUGGAACUGAGACACGGUCCAGACUCCUACGGGAGGCAGCAGUGGGGAAUAUUGGACAAUGGGCGCAAGCCUGAUCCAGCCAUACCGCGUGGGUGAAGAAGGCCUUUGGGUUGUAAAGCCCUUUUGUUGGGAAAGAAAUCCAGCUGGUUAAUACCCGGUUGGGAUGACGGUACCCAAAGAAUAAGCACCGGCUAACUUCGUGCCAGCCGCCGCCGUAA